rnacentral:rRNA from 1 species
ACGGAGGGUGCAAGCGUUAAUCGGAAUUACUGGGCGUAAAGCGUGCCCAGGCGGUUUGUUAAGUCUGUUGUGAAAUCCCCGAGCUCAACUUGGGAAUUGCAAUGGAUACUGGCAGGCUAGAGUACGGCAGAGGGGGAUGGAAUUCCGCGUGUAGCAGUGAAAUGCGUAGAUAUGCGGAGGAACACCGAUGGCGAAGGCAAUCCCCUGGGCCUGUACUGACGCUCAUGCACGAAAGCGUGGGGAGCAAACAGGA